rnacentral:rRNA from 1 species
GACGAACGCUGGCGGCGUGCUUAACACAUGCAAGUCGAGCGGAAAGGCCACUUCGGUGGUACUCGAGCGGCGAACGGGUGAGUAACACGUGAGUAAUCUGCCCUUGGCUUUGGGAUAGCCACCGGAAACGGUGAUUAAUACCGGAUAUGACCACUCUAGGCAUCUAGUGGUGGUGGAAAGUUUUUCGGCCAGGGAUGUGCUCGCGGCCUAUCAGCUUGAUGGUGAGGUAAUGGCUCACCAUGGCUUCGACGGGUAGCCGGCCUGAGAAGGUGACCGGUCACACUGGGACUGAGACACGGCCCAGACUCCUACGGGAGGCAGCAGUGGGGAAUAUUGGACAAUGGGCGGAAGCCUGAUCCAGCAACGCCGCGUGAGGGAUGACGGCCUUCGGGUUGUAAACCUCUUUCGGUAGGGACGAAGCGUGAGUGACGGUACCUACUAAAGAAGCACCGGCCAACUACGUGCCAGCCGCCGCUGUAAAAC